UGAAGAUUCACAAAUUGUAUUAUCUUCUCAUCCAAUCCCCAGUUCCAGUGAGGCGCUUACUUUGCAUGAUGAGCAAAUCUCCAAUAUUGAAGAUUCACAAAUUGUAUUAUCUCCUCAUCCAAUCCCCGGUUCUAGUGAGGCACUUACUUUGCAUGAGGCAUUAUAUUUAAAUAAAAUUUAUAUAAUGACUUUUGAAGGGAAUAAAUUAUGAGGAUAUUCAAAGUCCAAGUCUUAUUCAGCUAUACAAAAAAAGGAACCAAAUGACCCUUUUCACUUUAUAUUAUUUAGGAUGACAAAUAUUUUGAUAAAUUUCAUAAUUGCUGUAGGCCCUUGUCAGCCAUGUACAAAUAAAUUUCAAUAUCCUGUUACUAACAAGAGGAGCAUGAAUAUAACCUAUUAUAGAAAGGUUAAUAUAGAUGGUUCCCUCAACCCCAGAAAUUGGCUAUCUUAUAGCACUACUUUAGACAAAGUCUUUUGUCUAUAUUGUAUUAUGUUUGGUGGCCCUAAGUCCAA